rnacentral:rRNA from 1 species
ACGGCAGCACGGAGCUUGCUCUGGUGGCGAGUGGCGAACGGGUGAGUAAUAUAUCGGAACGUACCCUAGAGUGGGGGAUAACGUAGCGAAAGUUACGCUAAUACCGCAUACGAUCUACGGAUGAAAGUGGGGGAUCGCAAGACCUCAUGCUCGUGGAGCGGCCGAUAUCUGAUUAGCUAGUUGGCGGGGUAAAAGCCCACCAAGGCAUCGAUCAGUAGCUGGUCUGAGAGGACGACCAGCCACACUGGAACUGAGACACGGUCCAGACUCCUACGGGAGGCAGCAGUGGGGAAUUUUGGACAAUGGGCGCAAGCCUGAUCCAGCAAUGCCGCGUGAGUGAAGAAGGCCUUCGGGUUGUAAAGCUCUUUUGUCAGGGAAGAAACGGUGUUCUCUAAUACAGAAUGCUAAUGACGGUACCUGAAGAAUAAGCACCGGCUAACUACGUGCCAGCAGCCGCGGUAAU